rnacentral:lncRNA from 1 species
AUGAGGGGCCCGCACAUGCCCUGCUCAUCUCAAAACUUCUCGAGAAGCAAAUCUAACUUGCAGGAACUUUGAGAAAGGCAGGAGAAGCAAAAAAGCAAAAUGAGAUUGUUUUCAUAACUUAAAGAGGCUGAAAAUGAUGAAACUGGGCUGAGAUGUGUUACAGGAGCCUACACAGCUAGAAGGAUAGAUUCGAGGUCAUGCUUUGAGCAAAAGCCAUUAAAAUACAUAAAUAACAUUGUAUCACACUUUUGCCUCUCAAGUUGAGACUGCCUCUAAAUUGACUAGCGUUACAAAUAUCCUAACAGAAAACUAUCCCUAAAACCUAGAAAGCCAUAUUAUGCUUUGGCAAUCAUCUGACCAUGUACAACAAAUGUAAUGAAAACGGUAAACCUGAACCAAGGCAAACCCAACAGUUUAAUUUAAAAACUUGAAGAUACUAAGUAUUCCCUUCAACUGGACAUUCAGAAACUUCACGUGGCUACAUUGUAUUUCCCCCCACGAGUUGCUUCAGGGUUGUGAAAUUCACUGGACUGUGGAGGGAGCCUUAAACCUUUGUGGGUGAUUGACGUCUAAAGUACCUGAGCUUUUCUGGUUCUGCUGACCCUCAGUCUCCUGGACCCUAGAAGAAGAAUCAGACCCAUCCUUCAGUCUCAUCUCUAGAAGCCCAGAAUAAAAUGAAAAAGGU